rnacentral:rRNA from 1 species
GACGUAGGGCGCGAGCGUUGUCCGGAUUUAUUGGGCGUAAAGAGCUCGUAGGCGGCUUGUCGCGUCGACUGUGAAAACCCGCGGCUCAACUGCGGGCCCGCAGUCGAUACGGGCAGGCUAGAGUUCGGUAGGGGAGACUGGAAUUCCUGGUGUAGCGGUGAAAUGCGCAGAUAUCAGGAGGAACACCGGUGGCGAAGGCGGGUCUCUGGGCCGAUACUGACGCUGAGGAGCGAAAGCGUGGGGAGCGAACAGG